rnacentral:rRNA from 1 species
UCAAGCAAGAAAGAGCACAAGGAGAAUGCCUUGGCACUAGGAGCCGAUGAAAGACGUGAUAAGCUGCGAUAAGCUUCGGGGAGGCGCAAACAGCCAUCGAUCCGGAGAUAUCUGAAUGGGGAAACCUACUUGAGCAAACCUCAAGUAUCCAUGCGUGAAUCCAUAGCGUAUGGAAGGGAACGCUGUGAACUGAAACAUCUAAGUAGCAGUAGGAGGAGAAAGAAAACUCGAUUUCCUAAGUAGCGGCGAGCGAACGGGAAAGAGGCCAAACCGAAGGACCUGGUUCUUCGGGGUUGUGGACUGCAUUUAGCAUUGCUGAGAGAUAGACGAAUGGUUUUGGGAAAGCCAGCCGUAGACGGUGAAAGCCCGGUAGACGAAAUCUUGAAGCAGCGAGCAGGAUCCAGAGUACCACGAGACACGAGAAACCUUGUGGGAAGCCGGGGGGACCACCCCCCAAGCCUAAAUACUCCCUAGUGACCGAUAGUGAAGCAGUACUGUGAAGGAAAGGUGAAAAGGACCCCGGGAGGGGAGUGAAAGAGAACCUGAAACCUUGUGCUUACAAACAGUCAAAGGCCUACGGGCUGAUGGCGUACUUUUUGUAGAACGGUCCGGCGAGUUACUAAUGCCAGCGAGGUUAAGUGGUCAGAAGCCACGGAGCCGAAGGGAAACCAAGUCUGAAUAGGGCGUAGAGUUGGUAUUAGUAGACCCGAAACCGGGUGACCUAUCCAUGUCCAGGUUGAAGGAACCGUAAAAGGUUUUGGAGGACCGAACACACAUGUGUUGAAAAACGUGGUGAUGAGGUGUGGAUAGCGGAGAAAUUCCAAUCGAACUCGGAGAUAGCUGGUUCUCCUCGAAAUAGCUUUAGGGCUAGCCUCGAGCUGGAGUCUAACGGAGGUAAAGCACUGAACUGACGCGGGGCCCAAAAAGGUUACCAACUCAUAUCAAACUAAGAAUGCCGUCAAGAUACCCUCGGGAGUCAGUCUGCGUGAGAUAAGUCGCGUGGACAAAAGGGAAAGAGCCCAGACCGACAGCUAAGGUCCCAAAGUACGUGUUAAGUGGAAAAGGAUGUGGGAUUUCAUAGACAACUAGGAUGUUGGCUUAGAAGCAGCCAUACAUUUAAAGAGUGCGUAAUAGCUCACUAGUCGAGAAAACCUGCGCCGAAAAUGUAACGGGGCUAAAACACGACACCGAAGCUACGGAUUUCCUACUAGGUAGGAAGUGGUAGAGGAGCAUCCUGCAAGGACGAAGCCAAAGUGAGAGCGAUGGUGGACGAAACAGGAGAGAGAAUGCCGGAAUGAGUAGCGAGAUACAUGUGAGAAACAUGUAGGCCGAAUAUCUAAGGAUUCCUGGGUAAAGCUAAUCUUCCCAGGGUUAGUCGGGGCCUAAGGCGAGGACGAGAGUCGUAGUCGAUGGAUAACAGGUUGAUAUUCCUGUACUACACAUAAUCAGAACUGUGGGGACGCAGGAGGAUAGGGAAACCGGGGAAUGGAAAGACCCGGUCAAGCGCAAAGCUGUGGGAGAUAGGCAAAUCCGUCUCUUGUAAGUGAAGCGUGAUGAGGACUGAAAAAAAGUAAGGAAGUUUCCGAAUCCACACUGCCGAGAAAAGCCGCUAUUGCGUUAUGUGUACCCGUACCGUAAACCGACACAGGUAGAUGAGGAGAAAAUCCACAGGCCGACGGGAGAAGUGUUGUUAAGGAACUCGGCAAAAUGACCCCGUAACUUCGGGAUAAGGGGAGCCUCGCAAGAGGCCGCAGAAAAGAGGCACAAGCAACUGUUUAGCAAAAACAUAGGUCUAUGCGAAACCGUAAGGUGAAGUAUAUGGGCUGACGCCUGCCCGGUGCUGGAAGGUUAAAAGGAGAGGUCAGCGCAAGCGAAGCUUUGAAUUCAAGCCCCAGUAAACGGCGGCCGUAACUAUAACGGUCCUAAGGUAGCGAAAUUCCUUGUCAGGUAAGUUCUGACCCGC